rnacentral:rRNA from 1 species
CUCCAGACUCCUACGGGAGGCAGCAGUGGGGAAUAUUGCACAAUGGGGGAAACCCUGAUGCAGCGACGCCGCGUGAGUGAAGAAGUAUUUCGGUAUGUAAAGCCCUCUCAGCAGGGAAGAAAAUGACGGUACCUGACUAAGAAGCCCCGGCUAAAUACGUGCCAGCAGCCGCGGUAAUACGUAUGGGGCAAGCGUUAUCCGGAUUUACUGGGUGUAAAGGGAGCGCAGGCGGCCUGGCAAGCCUGAUGUGAAAUGCCGGGGCCCAACCCCGGGGCUGCAUUGGGAACUGCCAGGCUGGAGUGCCGGAGAGGCAGGCGGAAUUCCUAGUGUAGCGGUGAAAUGCGUAGAUAUUAGGAGGAACACCAGUGGCGAAGGCGGCCUGCUGGACGGUGACUGACGCUGAGGCUCGAAAGCGUGGGGAGCAAACAGGAUUAGAUACCCCUGUA